rnacentral:rRNA from 1 species
UACGGAGGGUGCAAGCGUUGUUCGGAAUCACUGGGCGUAAAGCGCAUGUAGGCGGCCGAUUAUGUCGUGUGUGAAAUCCCUCGGCUCAACCGAGGAAGUGCGCACGAAACUGGUCGGCUUGAGUACGGGAGAGGAGGGUGGAAUUCCCGGUGUAGAGGUGAAAUUCGUAGAUAUCGGGAGGAACACCAGUGGCGAAGGCGACCCUCUGGACCGAUACUGACGCUGAGAUGCGAAAGCGUGGGGAGCAAACAGG